rnacentral:rRNA from 1 species
CCUACGGGUGGCAGCAGUGAGGAAUAUUGGUCAAUGGCCGGAAGGCUGAACCAGCCAUGCCGCGUGGGUGAAGGAGUGCUUCGGCAUGUAAAGCCCUAUCGGCAGGGAAGAAGCAAGACGGUACCUGACUAAGAAGCCCCGGCUAACUACGUGCCAGCAGCCGCGGUAAUACGUAGGGGGCGAGCGUUAUCCGGAUUCACUGGGUGUAAAGGGAGCGUAGACGGCCAUGCAAGCCAGGGGUGAAAGCCCGGGGCCCAACCCCGGGACUGCCCUUGGAACUGUGCGGCUAGGGGGCGGGAGGGGCAGGCGGAAUUCCGGGUGUGGCGGUGAAAUGCGUAGAUAUCAGGAGGAACACCGGCGGCGAAGGCGGCCUGCUGGACCGCGACUGACGUUGAGGCUCGAAAGCGUGGGGAGCGAACAGGAUUAGAUACCGAGUAGUC